CCCUUAGAUGUCCUGGGCUGCACGCGCGCUACACUGAUGUGUCCAGUAAGCACCUAACCUCUUCCGAAAGGAACGGGUAACCUUUGCAAAGCACAUCGUGAUGGGGAUAGAUUAUUGCAAUUAUUAGUCUUGAACGAGGAAUUCCUAGUAAGCACAAGUCAUCAGCUUGUGUUGAUUACGUCCCUGCCCUUUGUACACACCGCCCGUCGCUCCUACCGAUUGAAUAUUCCGGUGAGCUCUUCGGACUGCGCGGUCUGCAGUUUCUGCGUUCCGUGCGGAAAGUUGCGCAAACCUUAACAUUUAGAGGAAGGAGAAGUCGUAACA
rnacentral:rRNA from 1 species